GCCAUCGCUCAACGGAUAAAAGGUACUCCGGUGAUAACAGGCUGAUACCGCCCAAGAGUUCAUAUCGACGGCGGUGUUUGGCACCUCGAUGUCGGCUCAUCACAUCCUGGGGCUGAAGUAGGUCCCAAGGGUAUGGCUGUUCGCCAUUUAAAGUGGUACGCGAGCUGGGUUUAGAACGUCGUGAGACAGUUCGGUCCCUAUCUGCCGUGGGCGCUGGAGAACUGAGGGGGGCUGCUCCUAGUACGAGAGGACCGGAGUGGACGCAUCACUGGUGUUCGGGUUGUCAUGCCAAUGGCACUGCCYGGUAGCUAAAUGCGGAAGAGAUAAGUGCUGAAAGCAUCUAAGCACGAAACUUGCCCCGAGAUGAGUUCUCCCUGACUCCUUGAGAGUCCUGAAGGAACGUUGAAGACGACGACGUUGAUAGGCCGGGUGUGUAAGCGCAGCGAUGCGUUGAGCUAACCGGUACUAAUGAACCGUGAGGCUUAACCUUACAACGCCGAAG
rnacentral:rRNA from 1 species